rnacentral:rRNA from 1 species
GUUUUCAGCCGGCAGCUAGCUCUCUGCUACUCUCACAUGGUCGCCCACUGAAGCUAAGCAGUUCUGCACCCGGUCAGUACUUGGAUGAGAGACCACAUGGGAAAGCUACACUGAAAAAA